AAUAAGUGCAGUUUUGCACUAUUCAUGUUCAACGUUUGACCGUCCGUCUUAUUUGAAAAAUUUUUAUGAUUAGUAUUUUUAUUGCUAUUAGAUGAUAAAACAUGAAUAAUACUUUAUGUGUGACUAAAUGUUUUUAAUUUUUUCACAAAUUUUUCAAAUAAAACGGACAGUCAAACGUUGAACGUAAAUAGUGUAAAACUGCACUUAUU
rnacentral:pre_miRNA from 1 species